rnacentral:tRNA from 1 species
UCCCUGGUGGCUCAGAGGGUAAAGCAUCUGCCUGCAAUGCUGGAGACCUGGGUUCGAUCCCUGGGUGGGGAA